UUGUGCCCUAGGAGACUCAAUUCCUCCUUUUUAUUCACAGAACAGGUACAGGAGAGGCAGCAGCAGUAAUGCAAACUUCCACUCACCAUAUCAUCAGUGUGCCCAACCAUGACCUGGAAAGUCCACUUUAGGGAGGAUUCAACUUCCAUGCUCAUUUAACUAUUAGU
rnacentral:sRNA from 1 species